rnacentral:rRNA from 1 species
GAGUUUGAUCAUGGCUCAGGAUGAACGCUAGCGGCAGGCUUAAUACAUGCAAGUCGAGGGGCAGCAUAAGUAGCAAUACUUGAUGGCGACCGGCAAACGGGUGCGGAACACGUACGCAACCUUCCUUUAAGUGGAGAAUAGCCCGGGGAAACCCGGAUUAAUACUCCGUAACAUUAUGAAGUGGCAUCACUUUAUAAUUAUAGAUUUAAUCGCUUAAAGAUGGGCGUGCGCCUGAUUAGGCAGUUGGCGGGGUAACGGACCCGACCAAACCUACGAUCAGUAACUGGCGUGAGAGCGCGACCAGUCACACGGGCACUGAGACACGGGCCCGACUCCUACGGGAGGCAGCAGUAAGGAAU